GCUGUUGAGACUCCAGGGGUGUUCGGGGCUGGGAGCCUGCUGAGUGUUCACUGUUCCCACCUCCAAUCUGCUCCAUCCUCCAGCUGCAUUUCAUUCCGGAUCUACCAGGAUCCAACUUUACUACUGUCAUGGAGGGAAUUACAGUAAUUCUACCAACUUUUGAGGCAACCUUCUUCUGACACUGUGUGAAACAGACUGAAAAGACUCUAAAGAUGGAGAGAGCUCAAUGCUUGAGAAAAGGAAUUCUGUCCUUUGAAAGGUCUCUAGAACAAAGGAGUCUCAUUCUGUCACCUAGGCUGGAGUACAGUGGUGCAAUCACAGCUCACUGCAGCCUCGAUCUCCUGGACUCAACCAAUCCUCCUGCCUCAGCCUUCUGGGUAGUUGAGACUACAGAUACAGAAGAUGAGAGACAGAAAAAGAGAGAAAUUACAGAGUGACGGAGAAGGCAGACAUCAUGCAACAUGCUCAAGGGCUAUUCAUUUUAAGCUGAAACAUACAUGUGUAGAAAGCAUCCUUGUACUUAUAAUCCCAAUGACUAUGAAGAAAAAUAAUUUAGCCAAAUAGUUCCUAGAACAGGAAAAAUAAGGAAUUAUAUUUUGAGAUAAGAAGUUAAGCUCUAGUAUAACAAUGAUAUUGGGUCAAAGAAAAAUGAAAACAAAUUUUAAAAACGUUGCAACAUGAAUAAAAGCUUCACCAAAUCGGGAGUCUAUUAUAA
rnacentral:lncRNA from 1 species